rfam:Salmo salar isolate Sally breed double haploid chromosome ssa19, whole genome shotgun sequence.
AGUUUAAAUCACUGUAAGUCACUCUGGGUAAGAGUGUCUGCUAAAUUACCAAAA